UACGUAGGGUGCGAGCGUUAAUCGGAAUUACUGGGCGUAAAGCGUGCGCAGGCGGCGCGUUAAGACAGGUGUGAAAGCCCCCGAGCUUAACUUGGGAAUUGCGCUUGUGACUGGCGAGCUGGAGUGUGGCAGAGGGAGGUGGAAUUCCACGUGUAGCAGUGAAAAUGCGCGAGAUGUGGAGGAACACCGAUGGCGAAGGCAGCCUCCUGGGGCCAGCACUGACGCUCAUGCACGAAAAGCGUGGGGGAGCA
rnacentral:rRNA from 1 species